rnacentral:rRNA from 1 species
AGUGAACGCUGGCGGUAGGCCUAACACAUGCAAGUCGAACGGCAGCACAGUAAGAGCUUGCUCUUACGGGUGGCGAGUGGCGGACGGGUGAGGAAUACAUCGGAAUCUACUUUUUCGUGGAGGAUAACGUAGGGAAACUUACGCUAAUACCGCAUACGACCUACGGGUGAAAGCAGGGGAUCUUCGGACCUUGCGCGAUUGAAUGAGCCGAUGUCGGAUUAGCUAGUUGGCGGGGUAAAGGCCCACCAAGGCGACGAUCCGUAGCUGGUCUGAGAGGAUGAUCAGCCACACUGGAACUGAGACACGGUCCAGACUCCUACGGGAGGCAGCAGUGGGGAAUAUUGGACAAUGGGCGCAAGCCUGAUCCAGCCAUACCGCGUGGGUGAAGAAGGCCUUCGGGUUGUAAAGCCCUUUUGUUGGGAAAGAAAAGCAGCAGGUUAAUACCCCGCUGUUCUGACGGUACCCAAAGAAUAAGCACCGGCUAACUUCGGG